AUGGAGGCAGCUCUUGUGAGUGUGGCGACGGGAGUACUGAAGCCCGUCCUGGGGAAGCUGGCCGCUCUGCUCGGCGACGAGUACAAGCGUUUCAAGGGAGUUCGCAAGGACAUCAGGUUCCUCAUGGAUGAACUUGAGGCCAUGCACGCGUUUCUCCUCAAAAUGUCAGAGGACGAGGAUCCUGAUGUGCAAGACAAAGUUUGGGCGGCGGCGGUGAGGGAGCUCUCCUACGACAUGGAGGACACCAUCGACGAUUUCAUGCAAAACGUUGAUGACAAAGACGCUAAGCCAGAUGGCUUCAUUGAGAAAAUCAAGCACUCGCUAGGGAAGUUGGGGAAGAUGAAGACUCGCCAUCGGAUUGGCAGCGAGAUCCACGAUAUGAAGAAGCUAGUCAUCGAGGUGGCCGAUAGGAAUGCAAGGUAUAGGACUGGUGUGACUAUCUCCAACUCCAAGAAUGCAGCCGUUGACCCUCGAGCUCUUGCUAUCUUCGAGCAUGCCUCCAAGCUUGUGGGAAUUGAUGAACCCAAGGCGGAGAUAAUCAAAAUGUUGGCUGAACGUGCGUCAACAGACGAGCAACCCAAGCUGGUCUCCAUCGUAGGAUCUGGAGGAAUGGGCAAGACAACUCUUGCAAACCAAGUGUAUCAAGAGCUCAAAGAGAAAUUCGAGUGCAAGGCUUUUGUAUCGGUGUCGCGAAAUCCAGACAUAAUGAAUAUCUUGAGAACCAUUCUCGCUGAAGUUAGCCAAGGUUGUACUAACACUGAAGCAGGGAGCAUACAACAACUGAUAAGCAAGAUUAAUGAUUGCCUAGCAAAUAAAAGGUGUUUCGUUGUUGUUGAUGAUAUAUGGGAUGAGGAUGCUUGGAAUGUUAUUAAGUUUGCAUUCCCAAUGAGUAGCUCUGGAAGUAUCAUAAUCACCACUACUCGUAUAAAUGAUGUUGCCAAAUCAUGUUGUUCAUCAUUCAAUGGUGCCAUUUAUACUAUCAGACCUCUUAAUCCGAUGCAUUCAAAAGAACUAUUUCACCGAAGACUAUUCGAGUCCAAAGAACAGUUCCCUUCACUCCUGGAAAAGGUUUCUUAUGAAAUUUUGAAAAAAUGUGAUGGCUUACCUCUAGCAAUCAUUGCUAUAUCUGGUCUGUUGGCUAACAAAGAGAGAACAGAGGAUCUAUGGAAUCAGGUGAAAGAUUCAAUUGGCCAUGCAUUGGAAAGAAAUCCUACUGUGAAAGGAAUGAUGAAGAUAUUGUCACUGAGCUACUUUGAUCUGCCUCCUCAUCUAAAAAGUUGCCUCUUGUACAUGAGUAUAUUUUCGGAAGAUUCUAUUAUCAAGAGGCAGUGUCUGAUAAGGAGAUGGAUUGGUGAAGGAUUCAUUCACAAAGAAGACAGAUAUACAGCACAGGAUGUAGGGGAAAGGUGUUUUAAUGACCUCCUCAAUAGGGGUUUGAUCCAACCUGCGGAGACAAAUGAAUAUGGUCAGGUCAAGAGUUGCCGAGUUCAUGACACAAUUCUUGAUUUCAUCAUAUCCAAGUCGAUAGAAGAGAACUUUGUUACUUUACUUGGUGUUCCCAUUCUGGAAAUUGUGACACAAAACAAAGUAAUUCGUCGACUCUCUAUGCAAGGCGUCAUGCAGGGAAAUCCAUUAGUACCAACACCGGAGUUUCAAAAAAAGAAAGUAGCAACAACAGAUCUAGUAUUGUCUCAUGCCCGAUCACUUAAUGUGUUUGGAGAUUCCAUGGAAAUCCCUUCUUUGGAGGAGUUUAGACAUCUGCGUGUUCUCGAUUUGGGAUAUCAACCAUUGGAAGACCAUCAUCUUGAAAAUGUAAUGAAGUUGUUCCAGCUGAGAUACCUGAACCUCCGACGGACAGGAAUAAGUAAACUCCCAGAAGAAAUCGGACGAUUAGGGUGCUUAGAGAUGCUGAACCUAAGAAAUAAUGCUAUGGAGGAGUUACCCGCAUCUGUUGUUAAUCUCAGAAAAUUGACGCAUCUACUUGUUGACUUUGAUGUUAAAUUUCCUGAUGGGAUUGCAAAGAUGGAAGCAUUGGAGACGCUAAAACAUGUCAGUAUCUACAAGCAGCCACUCGACUUCCUAUGGGGCCUUGGACAGCUAAAGAACUUGAGGAACUUAAGGCUAUUUGGCGACAUUGAGUUUGGCACUGAGGUCAUGGAGGAGUGUGACGAAGCUAUCCUCUCUUCCCUGCAUAAACUAGCCACCCAGAACCUUCGCUCUCUGAUUUUGAGUGAGAGUUACAACAUGUGCCUGUUACAGGAACCUUUGAGCCUCGAAAAACUUACUGAGUGCUCUUUGGAAGUCCCGCAGGUUCCGACAUGGGUGAGCUCCCUCAGAAACGUCCAACAGCUACGCCUUAGUGUGGAGAGAGUCGAGCAGAAUGAUCUCUGCAUCCUUGGAGCAUUACCCACUCUGCUCAUUCUGCAUUUGUCAGAAGAAGAAGAUUCAAAGGAAAAGCUCACAGUCGGUGGUGCGGUUGGGUUCCAGUUCUUGCGGGUUUUUAUUUAUAUUGCAAGUUCUCACCCAGUAGAUCUGAAGUUUGUGGCAGGAUUCAUGCCCAAGCUAGAGAAACUUGUGCUUAGGGAUUUGCGUGUACUUGAAGGCGACUCUCUGGACUUUGGAAUCAUCAAGAACCUCCCCUGUCUCAGUACUAUCAAAUGGGUAGUAGACGGGGACAAUGACAUUGUUGAAGCUGCAAACACUGCCAUGGAGAGAGCAGCCUGCGCACAUCCCAACCACCCUACUCUACUCUUCACAGUUGAUAAACUUCCCGGAGAUUUCUGCUCUGGAAGGAUUUACCGAACAAGCCAAAAACCAGGAACGAGGGAGUAG
rnacentral:rRNA from 1 species